AGAGUUCUGGAGUCUGAGAAGUCAAGGAUCGGGGUGCUGGCCUAUUCAGUUCCUGGUAAGGGCUGUCUUCCUGGCUUGCAGUUGAACUACUUCUUGCUGUGUCUUCACAAGCAUGCCCCCAUCCUGUGCCGAUAAGAACUCCAGACCCCAAACUCAGCUCAUACACACACGGAAGAGAGAAGCAUCUGAACAUCAAGAAGAGAAGAAGCUGCUGGACAUCAGAAACUGUGAAAGGAGAGGAGUUUGGCUGAGCUCCAGGGGAAGACUGCCUGCACAUUCUAUCCCCUUUUCAGUUCCCCAUCCUGCUGUCAGCCACAUUUACCACUCAAUAAAAUCUUCACAUUCACCAUCCUUCAAGUCCG
rnacentral:lncRNA from 10 species